GACGAACGCUGGCGGCGUGCCUAAUACAUGCAAGUCGAACGCUGAAGGAGGAGCUUGCUUCUCUGGAUGAGUUGCGAACGGGUGAGUAACGCGUAGGUAACCUGCCUGGUAGCGGGGGAUAACUAUUGGAAACGAUAGCUAAUACCGCAUAAUAGUAGAUGUUGCAUGACAUUUGCUUAAAAGGUGCAAUUGCAUCACUACCAGAUGGACCUGCGUUGUAUUAGCUAGUUGGUGGGGUAACGGCUCACCAAGGCGACGAUACAUAACCGACCUGAGAGGGUGAUCGGCCACACUGGGACUGAGACACGGCCCAGACUCCUACGGGAGGCAGCAGUAGGGAAUCUUCGGCAAUGGACGGAAGUCUGACCGAGCAACGCCGCGGGAGUGAAGAAGGUUUUCGGAUCGUAAAGCUCUGUUGUAAGAGAAGAACGAGUGUGAGAGUGGAAAGUUCACACUGUGACGGUAUCUUACCAGAAAGGGACGGCUAACUACGUG
rnacentral:rRNA from 1 species